GGGGAAUAUUGCGCAAUGGAGGGAACUCUGACGCAGCAACGCCGCGUGAAGGAUGAAGGUUUUCGGAUUGUAAACUUCUUUGAUCGGGGACGAAAAUGACGGUACCCGAGGAACAAGCCACGGCUAACUACGUGCCAGCAGCCGCGGUAAUACGUAGGUGGCAAGCGUUGUCCGGAAUUACUGGGUGUAAAGGGCGUGUAGGCGGGAGAGCAAGUCAGAUGUGAAAGCCCAUGGCUUAACUGUGGAAUUGCAUCUGAAACUGUUUUUCUUGAGUGCUGGAGAGGAAAGUGGAAUUCCUAGUGUAGCGGUGAAAUGCGUAGAGAUUAGGAGGAACACCAGUGGCGAAGGCGGCUUUCUGGACAGUAACUGACGCUGAGGCGCGAAAGCGUGGGGAGCAAAC
rnacentral:rRNA from 1 species